CAAAUGAACUUCUCUCAUGAGUGGCAUGUGUAGGGCAACUUGACUGCUCUUUGUGUCCAGUUGACAUCAAGAGAUUUCAGGAAGCAUAAUGUUUUGGUACAUGGGUAGCUGGUGAUCAUUGGUCUUGGUGCCCUU